GUCAGGACGAACGCUGGCGGCGUGCUUCAUACAUGCAAGUCGAACGAUAAGGUCUCUUCGGAGAUACAUAAGUGGCGGACGGGUGAGUAAUGUGUAGAGAAUCUGCCCUAGAGAUGGGGACAACAGUUGGAAACGACUGCUAAUACCCAAUAUGAGCGUAGUUGAAAUACUAUUCUUGAAAACUCCGGUGCUCUGGGAUGAGUCUGCAUCUGAUUAGCUAGUUGGGGGUGUAAUGGACCACCAAGGCGACGAUCAGUAGCUGGUUUGAGAGGAUGAUCAGCCACAAUGGGACUGAGACACGGCCCAUACUCCUACGGGAGGCAGCAGUAGGGAAUUUUGCGCAAUGGGGGAAACCCUGACGCAGCAACGCCCGCGUGAUUGAUGAAGCCCUUCGGGGUGUAAAGAUCUGUCAGUAGGGAAGAACAAAUGACUGUACCUACAGAGGAAGCAUCGGCUAACUCCGUGCCAGCAGCGGC
rnacentral:rRNA from 1 species